rnacentral:lncRNA from 1 species
AUGAAUUUGUUCGAAUUCCAGAUGCCCUGAACAUUCUCUGGAACUCAUCAGCUCCCUAAGCUAAAGCUAUAGGUUUAAAUCUAAAUCUAACUCCAUAGGUUUCAACCUAAAUUUCAUGAUGAACAAAACCUGAAUAGACGUCUUGCCUGUCUUUGAUCAUUCUUUUUCCAAAAUUACUAUGACUGCAUUAGGACAAUAGAAUGCAGUCAACAAACGCAAUCACUAGUCCCUGGCCAGAUAACACAUUCCAAACUUUAUUUCCUAAAGGAGAUUUUAUCAAGUUUGUGCUCUUAUAAAUAGGAGAAAGAGAGAAAUAUAACUUGGCAAAUGGAAGUGUUCAUUAAUUUAUCCAUUUAUUCAACAAACAUUAAUUUAGUAUCUACCACAUUCUAGCGAGCUUAUAGCCUAGCAGCAGAAAUAACCUCACACACACAAUCAAACCAUUAAAUAAGUGUAGGGUAUGUUGGAUUAAAAAAAUGGUCUGGUCUAAAUUCAA